rnacentral:snoRNA from 1 species
AUUCCAUGAUGAGGGCACUUCCAUAAUAAUUCUUUGUACCUUUCACAUGCCUCAUACAAGGACUCUUUAUCCAUUUGUUGGAAGGCAGUAAUUUCAUUCUACAACU